CUUUUUUUCUCCCCUGCGCACUCUCGGCGCACUUUAUCCUCCAAAUGGAGAUUCAACUAAUCGGCUGCACGAGCAGUCUUUAGUUGUCCAUAUAUAUAUGAAAAAUAAAUUUUCCUCAAAAAAUUAAAAAUUUUAAUUACUCGAAAAUAAAAUAAUAAAAUAAAAACAGAGAAACUCUUGGUUCAUGUUUUUCCUCGACGAAUCCUCUCCGUCCCCCUCUCUCCUCUUCGUUCCACCUCUUUAGAUUUAGAUCAUCCAUAAAGCUUCUCAUGUCCAAAUCCACCAAAACCCACGUCGAUUCUCCGCAAAUCUCCAUUACCCAAAUCUUGUAAUCUCAAAACUCUCUUCUUUAUAUGCCUACAAAAAUCAAAAGGCUCUCAGGAACAUGCAGUUCUGUGGACUAAUAUACGUGGGUGGAGGGAGCUAAAGAGAGGUGAGAAGGAGGGAUUUUUGAGAUAAAGAGAUGGCGAAUCAGGUGGUGAAAGUGAAGAGAGAGACGAUUGCAGCAUGCAUGACAUGUCCUCUCUGCAAUAAGUUACUGAGAGAUGCUACCACCAUAUCUGAAUGUCUUCAUACGUGUCAGUCUCUGUAACUCUAUUUCUCUUAAGAAAUUUCAUUUGUUUCCACUUAAAUCUUAACUUCCAAAUCUUUCUUCCUUUCGAUUCUUCUUGUAUUUUGCAGUGUUGAUAAUCUGGGUGGGUUACUUCUUGUUUCAGGCAUUUUCUCUCUCUUGAUUUGGUUUGGUUUGUCUUUAUUUUGACGUGGUCGUUCCGUAAUUCUACUGUAAGACAAUGGGCAUUUAGUACUUACUUUAGCGUCUUGGUUUCUCCUCUCUUCGUCUCCCUUUCUAGACGCUGCAAGACCAGAAAGAAAUUAAGCUUACUAAGAAUAGUGAACAAGCUUUCGGGUUUCAUUCUUUCCUUGGUUGAGAUUAAAGUCAUGCAGAAGUUCUGCCAUUGGAAUGGAUUCUCUUUUUGUGAAUGUGAUAGUAACUGGGUAGUUGCUACUUGGCAGAGUUUGUGGUUGAAAGUUAAUGCUUACUAAGUUCAUAUAUUAAAGUCUGAAAUACAUAAGUGUUCGCUGAUCUUCUUCAAUUUUAUGUUUGAUUGAUGAAAGGCAAUUAAAUGGAAAAUGUCUGAUUUUCGUUUCUUUUCUUGAAUUCAGUCUGCAGAAAGUGCAUAUGUCAGAAGAUAUCAGACGAGGGAGUAGAUUACUGUCCCAUAUGCAAGAUUGAUCUUGGGCGUGUUCCAUCGGAAAAACUAAGGCCAGACCACAAUUUGCAAGAUGUAAGGGCCAAGAUUUUCCCAUUCAAAAGAAGAAAGGUGGAGGCAUCUGAAGUCACACCCACAGCUAUAUUACCAGUUAGAAGGAAGGAAAGAUCACUUUCAUCAUUGGUGGUCAGCACUCCCAAAGUAUCAACACAGACUACUACUACAGGAAGAAGAACAAAACCUGUUCCAAGAAAGGCUACUGCUUUACGAGGUUCCAGUUUUCCUAUUGAGAAACGCAUUAAAAAAGAGGAAGAUGCCAUGGAAGGCUGUCUAGAGAACUCAAGUUCUCCUGAAACCAUAAAUAAGUUCAAUCAGAAUCUAAGGCAGAAUUCUUCCUCUGCCGAGGCCAACCAACCUGCUCCCAAUAAUGAAACAGAUAAUGGUGCUGAAUCAUGGGAUGGGAAAUCAGAUCUCUGGCAACCAUUGAAUUGUUUAGUGGAAGUUGCAAAUAGGACCAAGUCUUUCAAACCUAAUUCACAAGUUUCUGAUACUAAAUUCGAAUCUACUCAUUAUCCUGACAAUGAAACUCAUGUGUGUAAAACCAAAUUUAAGGAAAACAAAGACAAAACAAAAGUAGAUGAUGAAAAGAAUAACACUGAUACUGUGCGUUCAGAGUCAACAGGACCCAAAAGAUUGCGCAGGAUUCGCCGAAAAAAAGCUUCUAAUUUUGGAUAUCUGGGAAUAUCAUCCCAAGCUGUGCUGGAUGCUACCACUGCAAAGCAUGAGAGAAGAGCUGGUCCAGUUUGGUUUUCACUAGUAGCUUCUGAGGACCAGGAAGGAGAUGCACCCCUGCCACAAAUUCCUGCAAAUUACUUGAGGAUAAAGGAUGGAAAUUUACCUGUUUCUUUUAUCCAGAAGUACCUGAUGAAGAAAUUUGACCUUGUUAGUGAAGCUGAGGUUGAGAUCAAAUGUAUGGGACAACCAGUUGUCCCCACAUUACUGCUGUACAAUUUAGUUGAUCUCUGGAUACAGACAGCAUCAACGUCAGAACGAGUAUCAGCAUCCAUCGGUUCCUCUGCAAAGGAUUUUGUGAUGGUGCUAGCCUAUGCUCGCAAGGUCCCAGACCCAGAAUAAUGCUUGUUUUCCAUAUUUCUACCCUUCAUAUCCUCACUAAUGAUGUGCUUUGAGCCUCAUUGAUGAUGAAACGGUGGAUUUACCUGGAUAGUAUAUUAUAAACAAGCAUUCCAUAGUUCCUCUACAGCAUUUGCAGCAAGCACAUUGCAGACUAUACUCUGCUGCAGGAUUGCAGCAGAUAGAAAGGGGAGGGAUGCUUGCAAUCAUCUUUGGAUGAACCGUGCAAGUGCUUGGAGACAAUAUUAUGCGAAAUACUUGAGUUUGUAACUAACAUGGUUUUCUCGGCUGCUAUGUAACCUUACACGCUACUUAGAUGCCAAGAAGCGUAGCUUUUACGGCAAGUAUUGAGAAACUACGUUAGAUGUACUCUUCCCAUGAAAUUUCUUGCAUGAUCCAGCUUGAAUUUUGGUCUCUGCUGUCCUGCUUCGAUAGCGUCGUGUGGCUAGAAAGACCGUUCCUCCCUCCCCCAAACCCCCAAGUGGCAAGAAUAUUCAUCUUCAGGCUUUGGAUCAAGUGCUUCCUCGAUCCUCAAUCAAACAAAUAAAAACUGGAUGUGAUAUUUUAUCAAAUAUUUCAAAUUAUCUAAGUGAAAAACUUUGGGGC
rnacentral:misc_RNA from 1 species